GGUUAAAACGCUCGUAGUUGGAUGUUUGCUGAGGUUAGUCGGUCUACCCUAGCGGUCAGCACAUGACUUUUCCCCGGCACUUUUCUGGGGAGAGUGUUCGCACUUCACUGUGUGGCGCAUAGUCCAGAACUUUUACUUUGAGGAAAUGAGAGCGUUUCAAGCAGGCGUCUGUCGUGAAUACGUUAGCAUGGAAUAAUAGCACAGGACCGCGGUCUGACGCUGUUGGUUGUCGGAUCGAGGUAAUAAAAAUGGGGAUAGUUGGGGGCAUUCGUAUUUAACUGUCAGAGGUGAAAUUCUUGGAUUUUUUAAAGACGAGCUAAUGCGAAAGCAUCUGCCCAGGAUGUUUUUGUCGAUCAAGAACGAAAGUUAGGGGAUCGAAGACGAUCAGAUACCGUCCUAGUCUUAACCUUAAACUAUGCCGAAGAUCCGGACUGGGAUCGUCGAAUGACGCUUUCAGCCCUGAGA
rnacentral:rRNA from 1 species